GGAUUUACUACCUUUUAUUAUCCUUAGAGAGUUUGAAGUCUGAAUAAAUUACCUCCAGACCUGAGCCCUCUGUCUUCAGACUUGUUUUGCUUCCUUAUAAUUGCUCUUAGAAGAAAGAUAGAUAAAUUAGUCAGAUGUUCUACGUUGUAUAGAACGCGUUCUGUUCACAGAACCUAGGUAGGGUGUGGACCCUCCCUGUGCUUCUUCAUCAUGAAUUUCGGUGGAUUCCAUAUUCGUACCACAUGUCAAAAACCGUGCCUGGUAACCUUGGCGUCACAGACUGGGUGGUCAUUAAAUAUUGCUAACCAGCUGACCAGCUGACUUACACACUUAAAAAAAAUUCGCUCUGUUGGUGGUUUUGGUGAAAUCCCCCUUGGGAGGCAAUGUAACAGGGUUCUGUGUAAGCAAGGGUUAUGGUUCACUGAGCGAGUCUGUGUAUGGGGACAGGCUGCUGCUGGCAGAAGGCGGACGUCCUCACAGGGUGAUUUGAGGACUGUCCGGAAGCUACAAAGCCGUGCCUGAACUCCUGACGACAUGUUUUUCAAGAAUCCUUUCUUAGUGUUGAUGCAAAUGCAUGUAAGUGGUAAGUCGCUCUGCCGUUACCAGUACUAAUACCUCUGUGUGAGUUAGUUCUCAAAUCCUUUCUUGCUUUUUUAAAAUUUUAUUUUAUCGUUAGAAGAACACAACAUUCGAUCUGCCCUCUUGACAAAUCUUUAAGUUGACAACAGGUACCUUGCUGCACGGCAGAUUUCCAGAACUUACUCAUCUUGCUUGACUGGGACCUUUGGGUAUUGACUAGUAACUCCCCAUUGACCCCAGCCGCAGCUCCUGGCAAGCACCAUGUUACUCUUUAAUUCUGUGAAUUGGACUGUUUCAGAUACCUCAUGCAGAUGGAAUCAUGCUCUCUGAAAAAAUUAAGACUAGGACCAUCAUAUGAUCAAGGAAUCCCACUUCUGGGUAUUUAUCCAAAAGAAUUGGAGCCAGGCUCUUGAAGAGAUGUUAGUCCUAUGUUCAUUGCAGCACUAUUCGCAAUAGCCAAGAGGUGGAAUCAAAUCCUUUCUGAGAUCACAUUGGAGGGCAGGUUUUGACAAAGGUGGAGGGGUAGAGACAGGCCCAGAACAAGGUACACCAUACUUAGGAUGAACUCACAGUUUACAAUCCAAACUGGUCCAUUUGGGGGACCAUGUAUGUAUGUGGGGGUCAGUAUUAACAUUAUCUGCGACAACAGGAAUAAACCAGGACUGCCUGUUCCAUUGUUUGGCAAGGUGAGGGGGACAUUGUUUGGGGGUCUCACUUUUCAGCCUUACAGUUUUGCCGGGCACUUUGGGGAGUGGAGGCGAGAGAUGGACAAACAGCUGUAGAGGAUUCCCUGUCCGGAUCUCCACACAAGGACUUCUCAGAGGGCUGCUCAGGUCCUGGUGCAAAGAGCACGUCCCCGGAAAUGGGGGCCCUGAGUGCCCAGUCUAGAGGAGUCCAUCUCCACCCCCGUGACACCCUAAGGAUCCCUCACUUUGCUGACCUAGUCUUUAGCCGAUGCAAUCUCCUUCUCUAUUUGCUUACGUCUUCAUCGUCCGUCUCUCUCUGCCAGAAUACAGCAGGACCUUGGGGGCUAGUUUGUUUCUGGGUCUCCAGUGCCCAGCACAUUGCUGACCCCAUGGGCACUGAAGCAAUGUUGUCCGAAGAAUUCAACACUCAGUUAGUUGAGUCGCAUAGACUCUCAUAGUGAGGCGGGUACCUGGUGAGGCUGGCAGGAGGGAGAGGGCAGUACUGCUUGAUUUGCAUGGCUAGACAGGACUGAGAUGCAGGACAUCCCAGGCAGCACACUCUGACCUUGGCCUUGAGUGUAACAGUGAUUUCCCCUGCAAAGGCAGUCCCAGGAGGAUGCAUGCCCCUCCCCCUGCCCGCCAGCUCCACUGUGGCUGCAUCUCAUGAUAAUUGCUCUUUUCAUCCUAGAAAAAUGAUGCCUGCCUUGGUCUAUUUCUUUUAAUGGAAACCCCUUAAUAGCCCUGAAACAAAUGAUUGUUUUGUGAGCAACUGGCUCCAUGGGACCUCUCUCUAGGAAAUAAAACUGAGUGAUUGGAAGAGGGAACAGUGCUACUCAUCAGCCCUAAAGUGAGAUGGGACCUGUGUGAAAGGAAGUGCCUUGGAGAUGAACUUAUUAGACUCUUGAUCAGAACAGAACUCCUACAAAUAAAGAAGAAAAACAUGACAUGAGGAAAUUUCACAGUGACUCUUUUUUUUUGUUUUGCUGAGGAAGAUUAGCCCUGAGCUAACAUCUGCACCAAUCUUCCUCCACUUUAUAGGUGGGUUGCCGCCACAGCAUGGCAGACGAGUGGUGUACAUCCGCGUCCAGGAUCCAAACCCAUAAACCCAGGCCGCUGAAGCGGAAUGCGCCAAACUUAAACACUACAUCACAGGGCAGGCCCUGAAGUGACUUUUUUUUUUUUACUAUUAGGACAAUAGAUUUCAGCUUUUUGUUUUCUCAAAAGUGUCUCUAUGAAAAGAGAGGUUUUUAAAAGGUAUAUUCACACUAACCGUGUGUGAACUCUCUGCUGCCUGAAACCAUCGGUGCAGACAUUUCUGUGGAUAAGGAAAUCUUCACGACUUGAGCCUCCGUGAAAAGCAGCCUCAGGGGCUUCCUCUCCUUGGAGCAAGGAGACAGUAUACACGUCAAAGUUAAUGCUGGUGGCUUCUACAUGGAGUCUGUCAGACCUUGUCAGCAGAGAACUUUGUCAGCUUGAUGAUGGCUUGACAGAGAGGAAAGUUUCAGCGAGGACUGUGCAGCGUCAUUGGAUUUGGGAGCUGGAAGGGAUCUUGGAAUUCUCCAUUCCGACUGCCAUUAUUUUGCAGAUGAAAAAAGAUGAUGUUUAGGAAAGUGCGGCCCCUCCAGGCUCUCACCAUGCACAAGGGCAGACGGAGGCGUGGAGAUGAUGUUUCCUGACCCCCAGGCCAUUCCAAUCCUCACACCUUCGUUUUCCAAAUCUUAGACUGAUCCUUCCCGACCGCCCUCCUGCCCCGGCUCCCUUCUUCAGAUUCUUCUAAUGUUGGUUAACUCCAGGCGACGGGUUCUUAACUUGGGUCUGAAGACCUCUAGGGACUCCAGGAAUUAGCUUCAGAUACACCACGAAGGCACUUAAACUGUGUGAAAUAUUCAUAAAGGUUGUCAGAUGUGCACUUUUCAGGAGUAAGGGUCUAUGGCAUUCAUUAUAUCCCCUCAAAGGAAU
rnacentral:lncRNA from 1 species